ACUUCAUUUUAAUGACAAUCUUCAUCAAAUGUAUGAAGCUUGACAUACCUUGAAUCUUUGAAUUUUGAUAUUCACAAAGCCAGCUUUUCCCAUCUCCUGCGUGCAGACAGUUGCUCCGCAGAAAGGCUUCAACAGUUCAUUUCGGCCCUCUAUAAUGUACUGUUGCCAUUCAAGUGCGUGUACAGCUUUUUUAUGCGUCCCAUCAUCUGAGAGGAAGCUGUGCUCAAGUGAUUGGAGUUCAAAGUAUCCACCAGUGUUUAAAUGCUGAAAAGCUCCUCUGCACAGUUUUUCACAGCUAGAUAUUGAACCAUCCAACUCACGCCCAUGGA
rnacentral:sRNA from 1 species